rnacentral:lncRNA from 1 species
CUCUACCUAGCCCGCAACCUGAAUCACCCAAGACCCCCUUCUCAUUAAAACAACUAACUAUGGACCCUAAAAAAGAGAUAAGAUCCCUUGCCCCACAAGGAGCUAGCGUCGUUUCCCCUUCUCCUUCAUUCUUCUCUCAUCAUCUACAAGAACAAAGGAGAUUCCCUCUCUCUCAACCACAGAGAAGACCGAGCUUGAAAAUUCAGAUUUAGUGUUACAAAAAUUGAAGAUAGAUAUAUCAAAAAAAAAAAGAAGAGAAAGCUUUUGUUUCUUCAUUCUUUUUCAUUUCGAUUUUUGGGUAUCAAAAUCAUGGUGUUUUCUUGAGAGCUUGAUGGGGCUGUAAAGAGUGUUUCAAAGCUGAGAGGUUGAUUUAACUUUCAGUCGUUGUUCAAUUCCGCUGAUUUCUACUGCUUCUGGAAUUGUUGAGCUCCUACACGCUAGUUUCUUUGCCUAUUUUUAGCUGCCCUUUGCCUCUAGAUUUAAUCCUUGCACCGUUAGUAUGUCUUUGCUAAACUUGAAAAUUUAAGAUUUGGCCUAAAUAUGAAGUCAUGCUUGAUUUUGGUUGUUAAUCGAAUAUUGAUUGGAAUUUGCUAUUUCAACCCGUUUUAGCAUAAAUAAGUGUCAUUUAUUUUACUUGAAAUAUGAGGAAAUGCCUAAAUUUGCCUCUCGGACGAUGUUGUUUGAAACUGAUAGUUUGUGAUUUAUCAAUCACCAGAUGUGUAGUGUUACAUGAAUAUCACUCUGUUGUUUUUUUAGAAAGGGUUCAUGUUGGAGUGAGAUAUACGUGAAGCUGGAAUUAGCUAUCUACUAUAAAUUAGUUGUCGCGUAGUUGUAGAUCGUGGUUAUUAUUGUAAUAGGAUAUGGUCACAAUAAGGAAAAUUACUGGCUUUGUAAGCUUAAUUAGAAUUGAUAUCCAUUUUACUUUCUCUUAA